rnacentral:rRNA from 1 species
CCCUUCGGGGCUCCUUGGUGAUUCAUGAUAACUCAACGGAUCGCAGGGCCUUGCGCCGGCGAUGGUUCAUUCAAAUUUCUGCCCUAUCAACUUUCGAUGGUAGGAUCGGGGCCUACCAUGGUAUCAACGGGUAACGGGGAAUUAGGGUUCGAUUCCGGAGAGGGAGCCUGAGAGACGCUACCACAUCCAAGGAAGGCAGCAGGCGCGCAAAUUACCCAAUCCCGACUCGGGGAGGUAGUGACAAUAAAUACUGAUACAGGGCUCUUUUGGGUCUUGUAAUUGGAAUGAGUACAAUUUAAACCCCUUAACGAGGAACAAUUGGAGGGCAAGUCUGGUGCCAGCAGCCGCGGUAAUUCCAGCUCCAAUAGCGUAUAUUAAAGUUGUUGCAGUUAAAAAGCUCGUAGUUGAACCUUGGGCCUGGCUGGCCGGUCCGCCUCACCGCGUGCACUGGUUCGGCCGGGCCUUUCCUUCUGGCGAGCCACAUGCCCUUCACUGGGCGUGCUGGGGAACCAGGACUUUUACUUUGAAAAAAUUAGAGUGUUCAAAGCAGGCCUUUGCUCGAAUACAUUAGCAUGGAAUAAUAGAAUAGGACGGCGGUCCUAUUUUGUUGGUUUCUAGAACCGCCGUAAUGAUUAAUAGGGAUAGUCGGGGGCGUCCGUAUUCAAUUGUCAGAGGUGAAAUUCUUGGAUUUAUUGAAGACGAACUACUGCGAAAGCAUUCGCCAAGGAUGUUUUCAUUAAUCAGGAACGAAAGUUAGGGGAUCGAAGACGAUCAGAUACCGUCGUAGUCUUAACCGUAAACCAUGCCGACU